GCUAAACGCGAAGAACCUUACCUGGGUUUGACAUGCACAGGACGCAUCCAGAGAUGGGUGUUCCCUUGUGGCCUGUGUGCAGGUGGUGCAUGGCUGUCGUCAGCUCGUGUCGUGAGAUGUUGGGUUAAGUCCCGCAACGAGCGCAACCCUUGUCUCAUGUUGCCAGCACGUUAUGGUGGGGACUCGUGAGAGACUGCCGGGGUCAACUCGGAGGAAGUGGGGAUGACGUCAAGUCAUCAUGCCCCUUAUGUCCAGGGCUUCACACAUGCUACAAUGGCCGGUACAAAGGGCUGCGAUCCCGUGAGGGUUAGCGAAUCUUUUAAAGCCGGUCUCAGUUCGGAUCGGGGUCUGCAACUCGACCCCGUGAAGUCGGAGUCGCUAGUAAUCGCAGAUCAGCAUUGCUGCGGUGAAUACGUUCCC
rnacentral:rRNA from 1 species